UUCCUUCACUCUUUUUUUUCCUUCCUUUUUGACGAAAUUAUAGAUUUUUUAUCAAUUCAUAAAUUUUAUUAAUGAUUGGAGGAAAACAUGUCUUUAUAGAAGAAUUAUACCAAAAAGUAGAAGACAUACAAAGUUAUAUAGACCUCUAGUAGUCUAGUGUUAGACAAAUUAUUGAAUACUGGAUUGACGACAAUUCUAAAUGGAGUGAUAUAGACAGUAAGGAUGUAUAACCCAAACAAGUUUGGAAUCGAGGCGUAGCUGUAGCCUGUAUUUUUUUUUUUUCCUUUUUUGGUGUCUUUGGUUCUUAUGGUAUAUAUUGUUCAUAUUGAAAGUUGUCGGACGAGUAUAAGAUUGAGCUGAAUUAUCAUGGACUUGUUGUUGGUUGAGAACUAGUAAUAACUAGAUUAAAUAUGUUAAGUUAGAAUUGAAUCAUCGAUUAUUGGAGAAUAGUUGAAUUGGCAUUUUAGUGGGUGUCAAUGUUUUGUAUAGCUGAACGACUUCUCUUGCUAAAUCUUUUUAAGUUAGUUUGAGUUGCUUGUAAGAAUCUUCUAGCUGGAUAGCAAAGUUUCUGGUUCUCAAGAUAUUAGCGCGACGUUUAGGGCCUUAAACUGCUUUUCCAAGAUGUCUAUAUACACGUCUUGACCUGUACCAGCAUUCAUUUUAGUUUGUUGAUUAAUAACAAAUAAUAUGCUUUUCGGUAGGGCUCGCUUUUGAGCUCCAUUGAAGUAGGUUCAAACUGAAAUCUAGUUGGGCUUGAGAACUGCACUUUCAUGUUGAGAUGUUCUUAUUCAACGGAAAGUACAAGUAACCAACUCUAUAACCGAAGCCAAGAGACAAGAAACUAACAACCAUAUAACCACAAGAAAUACAUUGGAAACUCCGUAUGCUUUAACUAUUUGUUGUUGCCCUUUGCUUGAACUUCCGUUCGAUGCUGACUUGUAUUAUGUUGGAAUUACUGUCAUCUUG